rnacentral:lncRNA from 1 species
CAAAGCCAUACUGAGAUGUUCACAACUGUUGCAGAAUGCUGUGGGCUUCUCUUGUUCUCUUGCAGUCAGCACCGUGUCACUGGCAGUUGUUUAUGAGUUCUGUCCUUCUGCAGGUGCUGCAGGGAGCUCAGGCCAACCAACUGCGCUGGAGUCACCACUGCAUGCAGGUGUUGAGGUGCUGGCUCUGUGCUCCCCAGGGUACGGGGCCAUGUGCUGCUGAGAACAGAGGCCUCCUGCCUUCCUUCUGCCUGAGCAACUCGGCGUGGUGAUGGUGGGCAGGAAAGGAGGAAGAGGCUUUGAGUCACCGCAUCCUCGCAUUACUCAGCCUGCUCUGGGCACUGUUGUCGUCUCUGAGACCUUCUUGGAAACUCCCUUGUUCUCAGUGUGUGAACACUCAGAGACACAGCUGGAUGCCGGAUGGGCCACUCCUCCAGCCAUGUCCAGAAGCACAGCAAUCACACAGUGCAGGAGAUUCUGUGCCAGCCUGCACUGCACCUCUGCAGGAGGGAGAAAGCAAAGCAGCACCAAUUCCAUCACAGUUACGGGUCCUUGCAUUUGCAUUUUCAAUGCAAGGAGCCCUGUGCGAC